GUCUUUAACCAGUCCAACUCUUGGCAGGUACAGAAUACUAAAGGACCAUUUUAUUUCUAAAUGAGUCUGGAUGGCGCACCACAAAGACUGGAAAUGCUACUGCCCUUUCAUUUUAAAUGGCUAUCGGGUUCAUCCUACACAUAAAACCCAUCACAGAAAAUGAAUAUAAGCGGUAGGAGAAGAGACUGGAGAUGUGAACUGUCCCUCUGGAACGGGCUGCCAUUAAGUUUACUAAAAAUGUCUGAUGGUUUCACCCAGACAGUUAGGAGAGCUGUGUCUAAACGGGAUCCAGAUCUCUGCAAUUAAGGACCCCGGUGGAUCCAAUCAAGGAAUCACACGAAUGGCUGAAUAUGGUGGACUUGUGAAAGAUCAGGGCAUUCAGGCUGGUGACAUUCCUCCUGGCGAGCAGAUCCAUCCUGGGCCGGGGGUGAAAAAUGCAGCACCGCGCUACUGCUCAGCUGCAGAUGAAUGGAGCUAUCUGUCUUGUCACGAGGGGUCGGCGGGAGAGGUUACAGCCCAACUGUACCUGGUCUCUGAUGCUGAUGCCUGCACGCCGCUUCCCUUUACAAGAGAAGAAACAGAAAAACAGAAGAGAGGGAGAGACAGAGAGAGGGAGAAACAAAUCCUGCCCCAUCAAGCACUUCUUCAGUCCCUCCAGAGCCCAUCUCACUUCCCAUCAUCCCACAGUCCUGCUGCCCUGAGCGCAGGCUUUGACACAUCUAUAUGUUUUUCCUUCUGA
ensembl:lncRNA